CAUGGCACCUAUCGAAGCCGUUCUUGUGGUGCUGUCGCAGUGGGCGGUCAAAAGGAUGCCGAGAGAAACUCUUCCACUGACGGUCGCUGUUGAGUUUGAAAAGUGACUGCUUCAGCAACAUUUAGAGGAAGGACAUGU